rnacentral:rRNA from 1 species
GAUGAACGCUGGCGGCGUGCCUAAUACAUGCAAGUCGAGCGAACAGACGAGGAGCUUGCUCCUCUGACGUUAGCGGCGGACGGGUGAGUAACACGUGGAUAACCUACCUAUAAGACUGGGAUAACUUCGGGAAACCGGAGCUAAUACCGGAUAAUAUAUUGAACCGCAUGGUUCAAUAGUGAAAGACGGUUUUGCUGUCACUUAUAGAUGGAUCCGCGCCGCAUUAGCUAGUUGGUAAGGUAACGGCUUACCAAGGCAACGAUGCGUAGCCGACCUGAGAGGGUGAUCGGCCACACUGGAACUGAGACACGGGCCAGACUCCUACGGGAGGCAGCAGUAGGGAAUCUUCCGCAAUGGGCGAAAGCCUGACGGAGCAACGCCGCGUGAGUGAUGAAGGUCUUCGGAUCGUAAAACUCUGUUAUUAGGGAAGAACAAAUGUGUAAGUAACUAUGCACGUCUUGACGGUACCGAAGCAGAAAGCCACGGCUAACUACGU